UACGUAGGGUGCGAGCGUUGUCCGGAAUCAUUGGGCGUAAAGAGCUCGUAGGUGGUCUGUUACGUCUGCUGUGAAAUCCUAGGGCUUAACCCUGGGCCUGCAGUGGAUACGGGCAGACUAGAGGUAGGUAGGGGAGAAUGGAAUUCCCGGUGUAGCGGUGAAAUGCGCAGAUAUCGGGAGGAACACCGGUGGCGAAGGCGGUUCUCUGGGCCUUACCUGACACUGAGGAGCGAAAGCGUGGGGAGCGAACAGG
rnacentral:rRNA from 1 species